rnacentral:rRNA from 1 species
UACGGAGGGUGCGAGCGUUGUCCGGAAUCACUGGGCGUAAAGGGCGCGUAGGUGGCGCGGGCAGUCAACGGUGAAAGUUCGGGGCUCAACCCUGAAUCGGCCGUCGAUACUCCCGGGCUGGAGCACUGUAGAGGCUAAUGGAAUUCCGGGUGUAGCGGUGGAAUGCGUAGAGAUCCGGAAGAACACCGGUGGCGAAGGCGGUUAGCUGGGCAGUUGCUGGACACUGAGGCGCGACAGCGUGGGUAGCAAACGAGG